rnacentral:lncRNA from 1 species
CGCUAGGGUUCAAGAAUCUUCAUCUGGUUACCCAAGAAAUGUGGACCAUACCUUUGGGAAUCUCAGUCUCUCCCAAUUUCAACAAGUUGCCACUUUUCUCUCCUUCAUCUGAUUGUUGUUUUGUUUCCAUGUGUUGACGAUUUUCGCAGAUGGGAUUUUUGUUUCCAUGGUGGCACUGUGGUUUUGCAGAUUGAAAACGUGAAAGCUUAAUUGAAUACAGCCGUGUUCCUCUGCAAUAAUCAUAUCUUCAGACGCCACCAUCGAAUCUUUUUUUGUUCAUCGAUUAUCGUCAAGAAAUUGUGGAUCUGUGAGAUUCAUUUUUCAAAUAUCGAUGAUCUGUUGAUGCUUUUGGUUACUUGAACGACUUUUGAAGAGGUUUAUUGUAAAUGUGAGCUUAUGUGACCGACAAUACGACAUGUAUUCUUAUCUGCAAAAGUAGUGGCAGAGGAGACUUUCUGACAAACAAAUGUCGUCUGCCCAAAGAGGCAUAGGGCUAUACGGAAGCUACAAAGCAAAUUGAAGGCGACAGAGGACAAUUCAAAUAUCGUCUCCUUCAGGAACAUGCCAGAUAAGUACCGUUAGUUACUAUGGUUGGGAAUGACACAAGUCUUACAUAUUCUUACUUUUUGAUACUAAUGGCUUUGCUAUAAGCUUCUGUUGCUUGCAGAAAGAUAUUAGUAAUCAAUGGGUGUUUGUGGGUUAUCUUGAAGAUGCAAUCAUCAUAGAAGUUUAAUCCAACUUCAUCUAUCUUUCAUUACGUGUUUUAAAAUUUUUAGAGAAUCCCGACGAUAUCAAAGCUGCUCGGUAAAUUAUCGAAGAGAAUCAGAGUUGUUGAAGAUAAGAUUAUGAGAAAAUCUCGAAGUGUCUCUUUUUGACCCGUGUUACAGAGAAUUUCAUGUGUUAAUGCCUGGGAAAAAGUAGUAUAGAUGUUCAAAAGACACCCAGAGGGUUAAUUUUCAGGCAAAGAUGGAACAAUUAACAGCUUUUCACAACUUCAUCUUUCCUACUUACUGUCUAUUCCGACUACUUGACUUCGGCACAGUCACCCCACCUGAGCUGCUAGCGUUUGGCAAAUCUCAGGUGGAUUAUAUACUUGGAUACGGCCCAAGAGCAAUAAGUUACAUGGAUGGAUACCGAAGCACUACCCACAAAAAGUACACAUUGUAAGAAUAAUGAGUGUGUUAAAGUGGGCUGUUAUGAAAGAGUAUCGGAUGGGCGCUAUUUGGGUUUUAAAUAAUCUAGGACACUAAUCAUUUGAAAACAUAAUAGAGUGACCCGUUUUAGUUCGAGCAACUUUUUGUUAUUUGACAUGUUUGUCAUCCUUAUUUGUAUGAACAAGAUUUUGUAUAAAUAUCUCUAUAUGAUUGUGCAAUUUUGACCAGAUUUAGGAUUGUUUCAGACUUUUUGGGAACCCAGUUUGCAGUAAUACCCUUAAGCAGACUCAGUAUUCCGACUCAGACAAUCUAUCUGACUAUCUCGGGAUAUUCUACAAGCUUCCCAGAUUUUGGGACCAAACCGUGUCGGUCUGAUCGAAAACCGAGUUCUCUAAGAUGUGACUGUGUUUAUCCAUAUGAAGGCAAUCUGUUCUUUCGAGCACCAUCUUUUCAGGUUUUAACUAAAGAUACAUUGUGGCAUUCACUAGAAUCCGACCUUUGGACAAAACGGUGCCUCACUCCGGGCUUACUCUCCAAAACACGUUCUUUGACAUCACAAUUAUCUUCAAAUGCAUGUGCAGUUCUUUCCAUCAAAAAGCAAGCAUUUUACAAUACUGGAGGUCCGGAAAAUGAGGUUUUGCUAACUUGGAAAGGAACCUGGUGAGUUGGCUGAAGCAAGAAACAAAUAGUAUUUGACUAUUAUUUUCUAUUUUGUUUUUAUUAUAUUAGGAUUGCUUGAUUGUGGUAACUUGAAAUUUAAGUCUGAUUGUGUUGCCUGCCCUUGAAUAUAGCAUUCUAACCUAUAUGUAUGCUCGUGUGCAUGUGCGCUUGCAAACC